GUCAUGCCAAUGGCACUGCCCGGUAGCUAAAUGCGGAAGAGAUAAGUGCUGAAAGCAUCUAAGCACGAAACUUGCCCCGAGAUGAGUUCUCCCUGAGACUUUAGGUCUCCUGAAGGAACGUUGAAGACGACGACGUUGAUAGGCCGGGUGUGUAAGCGCAGCGAUGCGUUGAGCUAACCGGUACUAAUGAACCGUGAGGCUUAACCUUACAACGCCGAAG
rnacentral:rRNA from 1 species